GAUGAACGCUGGCGGUAUGCUUAACACAUGCAAGUCGAACGGACUCUUCGGAGUUAGUGGCGGACGGGUGAGUAACGCGUGAGAAUCUGGCUUUGGGUUCGGGACAACCACUGGAAACGGUGGCUAAUACCGGAUGUGCCGAGAGGUAAAAGAGAAAUUGCCUGAAGAUGGGCUCGCGUCUGAUUAGCUAGUUGGUGAGGUAAAGGCUCACCAAGGCAGCGAUCAGUAGCUGGUCUGAGAGGAUGACCAGCCACACUGGGACUGAGACACGGCCCAGACUCCUACGGGAGGCAGCAGUGGGGAAUUUUCCGCAAUGGGCGAAAGCCUGACGGAGCAAUACCGCGUGAGGGAAGAAGGCUCUUGGGGUGUAAACCUCUUUUCUUAGGGAAGAACAAAAUGACGGUACCUAAGGAAUCAGCAUCGGCUAACUCCGUG
rnacentral:rRNA from 1 species